rnacentral:tRNA from 2 species
GCCACCUUAGCUCAGUUGGUAGAGCAGCACUUUCGUAAAGUGAAGGUCCGCGGUUCGACUCCGCGAGGUGGCUCCA